rnacentral:rRNA from 1 species
UACGGGGGGGGCAAGCGUUGUUCGGAAUUACUGGGCGUAAAGGGCUCGUAGGCGGCCAACUAAGUCGGACGUGAAAUCCCUCAGCUUAACCGGGGAACUGCGUCUGAUACUGGAUGGCUCGAGUGUGGGAGAGGGAUGCGGAAUUCCAGGUGUAGCGGUGAAAUGCGUAGAUAUCUGGAGGAACACCGGUGGCGAAGGCGGCAUCCUGGACCAUAACUGACACUGAUAAGCGAAAGCCAGGGGAGCAAACGGG